UACGUAGGGGGCGAGCGUUGUCCGGAUUUACUGGGCGUAAAGCGCGUGUAGGCGGCCCGUUAAGUGGGGUGUGAAAGCCCGGGGCUCAACCCCGGGACGCCGCUUCAAACUGCCGGGCUAGAGUCCGGAAGAGGCGAGUGGAACUCCUGGUGUAGCGGUGGAAUGCGCAGAUAUCAGGAAGAACACCAACGGCGAAGGCAGCUCGCUGGGACGGUACUGACGCUGAGACGCGAAAGCGUGGGGAGCGAACAGG
rnacentral:rRNA from 1 species